UUAAUGUCCCCCAUAUGCUUAUGUACUCGGAUGGAACAUCAAGGUAUCAUUGUUAAUUGUUGAUGUGGGUGGAGAUGGAAAACCCCUUGGUUGGAGCCAAAGUUUCCAUAGUCACUCAAUUGCUCAUGAUAAGAUUUCUUGCGUGCUGGUCUAUUAAUUUAGGGGAUUUACAUCGCGAGCAGCCUUAGUUUCUUCAAAAUUUGUACAACAAUAUCUUCUCUGAGUGUUUAUUUAUUUAUUUAGAAGUUUCUGGUUGUGUUUGUUUGUCUCUUGGGGACCUUUAUCUGGUAUUGGGAUAGAAUAUUAUUAUGUGGGGCUGUCUAAAUUCUAAAAGGUUAUUUGCUCAAUGUUAGGUGUUUAUGGGAACAAGAAAUGAUUAUUCUGUUGUUUUAGAGUCUUAGGAAGCUGUGGUUCUUUGCGUUAUUCUGUACAUAAUACUUGAGUCUAUCUAUUCUAUAUAUUGGUAUGGUAUGAAACAACGAAUCUGUUUCACAUUUGAUAACUAUAAUUUAUUUAGGGAAAGAGCUUAUUUC